rnacentral:rRNA from 1 species
AUUGAACGCUGGCGGCAUGCCUUACACAUGCAAGUCGAACGGUAACGGGCCUUCGGGUGCCGACGAGUGGCGAACGGGUGAGUAAUACAUCGGAACGUGCCCGAUCGUGGGGGAUAACGAGGCGAAAGCUUUGCUAAUACCGCAUACGAUCUACGGAUGAAAGCAGGGGACCGCAAGGCCUUGCGCGGACGGAGCGGCCGAUGGCAGAGCAGGUAGUUGGUGGGAUAAAAGCUUACCAAGCCGGCGAUCUGUAGCUGGUCUGAGAGGAUGAUCAGCCAGACUGGGACUGAGACACGGCCCAGACGCCUACGGGAGGCAGCAGUGGGGAAUGUUGGGCAAUGGGCGCAAGCCUGAUCCAGCCAUGCCGCGUGCAGGAUGAGGGCCUUCGGGUUGUAAGCUGCUUUUGUACGGAACGAAAAGCCUUCUUCUAAUACAGGAGGGUCAUGACGGUACCGUAAGAAUAAGCACCGGCUAACUACGUGCCAGCCGCCGCCGUAA